rfam:Streptomyces subrutilus strain 10-1-1 1, whole genome shotgun sequence.
CAGUCCGCCACGUGGGACACCCUCACCGGGUCAGGUACCUCGCGGUUACCCUGGCCGCGUGCACCCUUGACACAGAGGGGGUGCAAAGCCGACAGCCGUCGCAUCCCAGGGAGCUCAACCAUG